UCAUUGCUGCUUUACUAAGUGAACAAACCAUUGUGUUCACUUCCUCCAAUUACUCAAUGCCAGCAUUAGUUAUACAAUGUUUGUUGAGUUACAUCUCUCCCUUUGAGUGGCGUCACAGUAUAGUACCAACAGUUCCUGAUAACUUCAUUGAUAUACUCGGAGCUCCUAGCAUUAACAUACUGGGCUGCCACUCCAACUGGCACGAGUCACCUGAGUUCACUAAUAUUGAUGAUGCUGUUAUUGUCAAAUU